UACGGAGGGUGCAAGCGUUGCUCGGAAUUAUUGGGCGUAAAGAGCUCGUAGGCGGCUUGUCACGUCGGAUGUGAAAGCCCGAGGCUUAACCUCGGGUCUGCAUUCGAUACGGGCUAGCUAGAGUGUGGUAGGGGAGAUCGGAAUUCCUGGUGUAGCGGUGAAAUGCGCAGAUAUCAGGAGGAACACCGGUGGCGAAGGCGGGUCUCUGGGCCGAUACUGACGCUGAGGAGCGAAAGCGUGGGGAGCGAACAGG
rnacentral:rRNA from 1 species